UACGGGGGGGGUAAGCGUUGUUCGGAAUUACUGGGCGUAAAGGGCUCGUAGGCGGCCAACUAAGUCAUACGUGAAAUCCCUCAGCUUAACUGGGGAACUGCGUGUGAUACUGGAUGGCUUGGAUUUGGGAGAGGGAUGCGGAAUUCCAGGUGUAGCGGUGAAAUGCGUAGAUAUCUGGAGGAACACCGGUGGCGAAGGCGGCAUCCUGGACCGGCAUUGACGCUAAAGCGCGAAAGCCAGGGGAGCAAACGGG
rnacentral:rRNA from 1 species